CGUUUUCUGGAAUUUUGAUGCCACUUCCGUAUGACAGUGCCGGAACUGCUAGCAAUAACACAAAGGGCGCCUCCUACAGUCCACCAGGAGUUAAACUCUUUAUUUCAUUCAGAGGCAUCUGGCAAGUGAAGCUGCAUUGGGGGCACAUUACAGAGGAGAAAUGACCAACACUUUUGUGGAAACUGAAAUCAUUUACAGAAUUAUGUCCGAGAUAUUUCCCAGUACUCCAAAUUACCAAGUCUCAACUGAAAGUAAAAGACAUGAUUUUUUACCACACUAAAGUCUACAAAUUUAAGAAAAAAAUGACAAUAUUUAAAUCAGCAAAUGUAAAUGCAGCACUAAAUUUUGUAAAAUAAAACUGUUAUGGAAAGCAA